CCCUACGGGGGGCAGCAGUGGGGAAUAUUGCACAAUGGGGGAAACCCUGAUGCAGCAACGCCGCGUGAGUGAAGAAGUAUUUCGGUAUGUAAAGCUCUAUCAGCAGGGAAGAAGAUGACGGUACCUGAAUAAGAAGCCCCGGCUAACUACGUGCCAGCAGCCGCGGCAAUACGUAGGUGGCAAGCGUUGUCCGGAUUUACUGGGUGUAAAGGGCGUGUAGCCGGGCUGACAAGUCAGAUGUGAAAUCCGGGGGCUCAACCCCCGAACUGCAUUUGAAACUGUUGGUCUUGAGUAUCGGAGAGGCG
rnacentral:rRNA from 1 species